rnacentral:rRNA from 1 species
AGAGUUUGAUCAUGGCUCAGAUUGAACGCUGGCGGCAUGCCUUACACAUGCAAGUCGAACGGCAGCACGGGUGCUUGCACCUGGUGGCGAGUGGCGAACGGGUGAGUAAUACAUCGGAACGUACCUUAUCGUGGGGGAUAACGCAGCGAAAGCUGUGCUAAUACCGCAUACGCCCUGAGGGGGAAAGCGGGGGAUCGAAAGACCUCGCGCGAUUAGAGCGGCCGAUGCCUGAUUAGCUUGUUGGUGGGGUAAAAGCCCACCAAGGCGACGAUCAGUAGCUGGUCUGAGAGGACGAUCAGCCACACUGGGACUGAGACACGGCCCAGACUCCUACGGGAGGCAGCAGUGGGGAAUUUUGGACAAUGGGGGCAACCCUGAUCCAGCAAUGCCGCGUGAGUGAAGAAGGCCUUCGGGUUGUAAAGCUCUUUUGUCAGGGAAGAAACACCGGCUCUAACACAGUCCGGGAAUGACGGUACCUGAAGAAUAAGCACCGGCUAACUACGUGCCAGCAGCCGCGGUAAUACGUAGGGUGCGAGCGUUAAUCGGAAUUACUGGGCGUAAAGCGUGCGCAGGCGGUUAUACAAGACAGGCGUGAAAUCCCCGGGCUUAACCUGGGAAUGGCGCCUGUGACUGUAUAGCUAGAGUGUGUCAGAGGGGGGUAGAAUUCCACGUGUAGCAGUGAAAUGCGUAGAUAUGUGGAGGAAUACCAAUGGCGAAGGCAGCCCCCUGGGAUAACACUGACGCUCAUGCACGAAAGCGUGGGGAGCAAACAGGAUUAGAUACCCUGGUAGUCCACGCCCUAAACGAUGCUGACUAGUUGUUCGGGAUUUACAUCCUGAGUAACGUAGCUAACGCGUGAAGUCAGCCGCCUGGGGAGUACGGUCGCAAGAUUAAAACUCAAAGGAAUUGACGGGGACC